rnacentral:rRNA from 1 species
GGGUAGAGCACUGUUUCGGCAAGGGGGUCAUCCCGACUUACCAACCCGAUGCAAACUGCGAAUACCGGAGAAUGUUAUCACGGGAGACACACGGCGGGUGCUAACGUCCGUCGUGAAGAGGGAAACAACCCAGACCGCCAGCUAAGGUCCCAAAGUCAUGGUUAAGUGGGAAACGAUGUGGGAAGGCCCAGACAGCCAGGAUGUUGGCUUAGAAGCAGCCAUCAUUUAAAGAAAGCGUAAUAGCUCACUGGUCGAGUCGGCCUGCGCGGAAGAUGUAACGGGGCUAAACCAUGCACCGAAGCUGCGGCAGCGACGCUUAUGCGUUGUUGGGUAGGGGAGCGUUCUGUAAGCCUGUGAAGGUGUGCUGUGAGGCAUGCUGGAGGUAUCAGAAGUGCGAAUGCUGACAUAAGUAACGAUAAAGCGGGUGAAAAGCCCGCUCGCCGGAAGACCAAGGGUUCCUGUCCAACGUUAAUCGGGGCAGGGUGAGUCGACCCCUAAGGCGAGGCCGAAAGGCGUAGUCGAUGGGAAACAGGUUAAUAUUCCUGUACUUGGUGUUACUGCGAAGGGGGGACGGAGAAGGCUAUGUUGGCCGGGCGACGGUUGUCCCGGUUUAAGCGUGUAGGCUGGUUUUCCAGGCAAAUCCGGAAAAUCAAGGCUGAGGCGUGAUGACGAGGCACUACGGUGCUGAAGCAACAAAUGCCCUGCUUCCAGGAAAAGCCUCUAAGCAUCAGGUAACAUCAAAUCGUACCCCAAACCGACACAGGUGGUCAGGUAGAGAAUACCAAGGCGCUUGAGAGAACUCGGGUGAAGGAACUAGGCAAAAUGGUGCCGUAACUUCGGGAGAAGGCACGCUGAUAUGUAGGUGAAGUCCCUCGCGGAUGGAGCUGAAAUCAGUCGAAGAUACCAGCUGGCUGCAACUGUUUAUUAAAAACACAGCACUGUGCAAACACGAAAGUGGACGUAUACGGUGUGACGCCUGCCCGGUGCCGGAAGGUUAAUUGAUGGGGUCAGCGCAAGCGAAGCUCUUGAUCGAAGCCCCGGUAAACGGCGGCCGUAACUAUAACGGUCCUAAGGUAGCGAAAUUCCUUGUCGGGUAAGUUCCGACCUGCACGAAUGGCGUAAUGAUGGCCAGGCUGUCUCCACCCGAGACUCAGUGAAAUUGAACUCGCUGUGAAGAUGCAGUGUACCCGCGGCAAGACGGAAAGACCCCGUGAACCUUUACUAUAGCUUGACACUGAACAUUGAGCCUUGAUGUGUAGGAUAGGUGGGAGGCUUGGAAGUGUGGACGCCAGUCUGCAUGGAGCCGACCUUGAAAUACCACCCUUUAAUGUUUGAUGUUCUAACGUUGACCCGUAAUCCGGGUUGCGGACAGUGUCUGGUGGGUAGUUUGACUGGGGCGGUCUCCUCCUAAAGAGUAACGGAGGAGCACGAAGGUUGGCUAAUCCUGGUCGGACAUCAGGAGGUUAGUGCAAUGGCAUAAGCCAGCUUGACUGCGAGCGUGACGGCGCGAGCAGGUGCGAAAGCAGGUCAUAGUGAUCCGGUGGUUCUGAAUGGAAGGGCCAUCGCUCAACGGAUAAAAGGUACUCCGGGGAUAACAGGCUGAUACCGCCCAAGAGUUCAUAUCGACGGCGGUGUUUGGCACCUCGAUGUCGGCUCAUCACAUCCUGGGGCUGAAGUAGGUCCCAAGGGUAUGGCUGUUCGCCAUUUAAAGUGGUACGCGAGCUGGGUUUAGAACGUCGUGAGACAGUUCGGUCCCUAUCUGCCGUGGGCGCUGGAGAACUGAGGGGGGCUGCUCCUAGUACGAGAGGACCGGAGUGGACGCAUCACUGGUGUUCGGGUUGUCAUGCCAAUGGCACUGCCCGGUAGCUAAAUGCGGAAGAGAUAAGUGCUGAAAGCAUCUAAGCACGAAACUUGCC